rnacentral:rRNA from 1 species
CAGCCGCAGCGGUAACACCAGCCCCUCGAGUGGUGGGGACUAUUAUUUGGCCUAAAGCGUCCGUAGCCGGCUGCAGCCGUCACCCGUUAAAUCCAGCGUCUCAAGCGUUGGACUGCGGGUGAUACCCUGCAGCUUGAGGGUGGGACAGGUUAGCGGUAUUCCCGGGGUAGGGGCGAAAUCCUUUGAUCCCGGGAGGACCACCAGUGGCGAAGGCUGCUGACUAGAACACGCCUGACGGUCAGGGACGAAAGCUGGGGUAGCGAACCGGAUUAGAUACCCGGGUAGUCCCAGCUGUAAACGAUGCACGCUAGGUGUUGGGUCGGCCACGCGCCGCCCCAGUGCCGCAGGGAAGCCGUUAAGCGUGCCGCCUGGGGAGUACGGCCGCAAGGCUGAAACUUAAAGGAAUUGGCGGGGGAGCAC